UUUUCAUUCACUAUAAUUGUAAUUUAAGAAACAUAUUUUUAGUGGAACUGUUAAUCACUGUUUACAGUGAUUAACGACUGGACGUAGAUUCUUCUUAAUUGAACCAGUAUAAAAAUUACUUGUGUGAUUUUUCUACUCCCUGCACUUGUUAUUUUUGCCUGCACUCAAAUUGUUCGAUUAAUUUUUUGAAAGAAAAUUAUUUUGCGAAAAAUGACCAACUUUGAUUUUAACAGUGACCGAACACGCUUAUACGCUCUCUAAGUUUUAAUUCUAUUGCGUUAUACUCUUCGAACCAUACCCCUCCGAUACCAACAACUGCGAGUUUAGAUGCAUUGUUUUGACAGAAGGGGGCGGCCAGACCUAAUUUCACUCUCUGGAGAGGAUCUCUUGGAUGCUUAGGCUCCUUUUCAUCUUUUCUAGGGUUUGCUUUUCCAUUCCUCAUCCAUU
rnacentral:lncRNA from 1 species